rnacentral:snoRNA from 1 species
GCAUGUUUUGAUUUGAGAUUUGACCCACACGUGGUCCUGUCUCAGUGUACGACAUGCUACAUCAGCUCGACUCCGAACCAUUGGCUGGUCCAAAUCAAUGGGCUCGAUCACUGAAGUGAGUCAGACACUG